rnacentral:tRNA from 2 species
AUUUGAAUAGCUUAAUUAGAGCGUAAUAUUGAAGAUAUUAAGGUAAUUUAAAAUUUUCAAAUA